rnacentral:tRNA from 1 species
UGGUUAUUUAGUUUAUUUAAAAUUUAGGUUUUGUAGUCCUAAGAUAAUAUGUAUUUGUUAAUAACCAG